GAAAAUUGCUAUGGGUUUUUGACUUGCCAAAACCAUCUGCUCCGAAGUUGUCUUCAUCUGUGAACACCUGAUGAAAUGACAUGUCAGAAGGGUCAGAAAUAAAAAUACUACCUGCUGUCUAGAAGGCAGAAGCAGCCACAGGCAGUUUGGAAUGUUAUUCCAGUUCUUCUGAACAGUAGAAGCAGUGCAAAGUGAUCAGCGAUGGAGACCGAGGAGUGGAGUGUGGAAGAAGCAAAAUUUAAGCAAAAACUUCUGAAGUCAACUAAGGGAACAGUAUAUUUUUAUUGUAAUGAUAUCUUCUAUGCUCUUUAUCUUCCCCAAUGAUAGAAAAAGCUUGAAGAACUGAUUAAAUGACUCUUGGGAUAACUUUUUGAUCAGGUAAUAUAAAUUGCCAUGAAAGCUGGAGAAGGCAAUAAGGGAGCUAAGAUUCCUCCAACCCACUCAGAGAUUUAAAAUCAAAUCUUGAAGCACGGAUAAAAAUAUAUACAGAAGGAAUGAAAAACAAUGAGCGCUAACACCUCCUACAAUAUUUCCCACAUUAUUUUUCUUUUUGUUGACCACAGCUAUGAUGUUUUCUUCAUAAUUUUGAAGUCAAACUCAUAAGAAAAAUGUGACAACUAUUUUUUUCUUUCUUUCUUUUGGGCUUGUUUAUUUGUUUUAAGCCCACCAGGCUUUUAAGUUGAAGGUGUCACUGCAGAACACUACAAUACGUUUACAAUGGUGAAUUCUCAGUCAGUGUAAAUACAUUUUAAAUUACUUUUUGAUGCAUUUUGGCUUGCUUGCAAUUCAUUCUUGCACAUUCUCAAUUGAAUUAUUUAUUAAUCUCUGGCAGUUGUAUUGACGGGAUUAUACAGACAUCUCUGAAGACAUUCGAUGAAGAAACUGAACAAAGCUGGCCUGGAGAGACAAAGCUCCACAAAUCAAUUAGCUCUUUGUUGCCAGCAGUGAUAGAGGGAGAAAGCCUGUCUUGAGCUUGCACGCUUGACAAUGGUGCCAGCUGUUGCUUAUAAGCAGUGAGAUGGUGAUUGCCACUCUCAUGUAAUUCCUCAGGCAGCACCACUGCCUUGUGGUGCUGACUGAGGAAUUACAUGAGAGUGGCAGGGAGGGAAAAAGAUGUGACUCCUCUCCUUGAGAGUGGUAGUUCAUGUUUAUUAACCAGUCCCUGAUGGUAUGUUUUUUAUUUAGAUUUAAUAUUUAACAAAACACCUGUGCAAAAGCCCAAGAUCCACUUUAGAAGUAAUUAGAUUUGCAAUUGCUGCCCAGCAGCACAGGGAUGAAUAUACCAAUAAAUAAACUCUGCUAGCCUAUGCCAGUGAAAACAGCAAUUUAGCCCAGCAGAUGAAAAUAGGAGAAUUGCAAUGAGGCCUCUCAUUUCCAAAGCCAUCCAGGAAGAGGUAUUCAGCCUUUCUCAAAUGCUUUGGCCUAAGGUUGGUGUUGUUCCUGGCAAGGGAUCUGCACUGGAUUGUUUCAGGUGAGUGGAGGAUACCCCCAUGCUUCUGGCGUUCUCCUGGAGAGCAUCCUGCAGGCCAGCUUUGUUCUUCCUGCUCCAGAGAUCUUUGCUGGGUACAACUGUGACUGGGGCAGUAACUGGGAGGGAAAUGGUGUGCUGAGUUGUUUGUCUCCUGAAAGCACUCUGAGUGCCAGCAUCCAGAGACAGAAAGGGUCCUGUAUUGUGCAAUGUGUUCCCUUUGCCUGGUGAGUUUUCUGCUUUGUGAUGUGAUGUGGUUGUCUUCAUUUCUGAGGUCAAGAAACAGGGUGAUCUCCUUUAGAUUUUCAGCACAGUUGCACUUUGACAGCCAAAGGACUGGAGGGGUGAUAGACAUGCCAAGCUCUACAGCAGUUUCUAAAGUUUUGGGUUUGAACUAUGAUAGCUGAAGUUUAGAUGUAGCCCCUUAUCCAGCAAGCAUGUGUUGGAAGGCUGUCGUGUGCAUUUAUUGUCAUUAUCUACUGAUAAGUGUAAAAGGAUACUGCUUUAGAAACUGUGAAUGCUUUAGAAAUGUGAAUACUUCAUGUUUUAUGAAGGCUAUCAGCAGGAAAAAAACAGCCAACUGCAUCAUUGGCAUUCUUAGAAAUAAUAAUAUGAGGAAAUUCAUUGGUACCUUCAGAUUAAACAAAUGUAAAUGUAGACAUUUAUUUUUCAACUGGUUUUCCUAACAAUUCCCUUGCUUAUAUGCAGAUGGACUACAUAAUUUAUACAUGGAUUACUUACACAGACUAGAGCGUGGAUGGGCAGUUUGUAGGCAUGGAAUAAUGAACUCGGAGAAACAUGUCUACCAGCUUUUAAAAUAAUCUUCCCCAGGAAGCUUAUCCAUAGCCUGGUGUCCACUGCUGCAUCCUCCUUCUGCCCUGUUCCAGUGGUGGUA